rnacentral:tRNA from 1 species
GGCCGGUUCGCUCCGUCAGUUGAGCAUGGUGCUGAUAACACCAAGGUCGCGGGUUCGAUCCCCGCUCAGUCCC